CAUAAUAGAAGGGUCACUCAAAAUAUUUGUCGAUGAAAAGAAAACUCAACUGCUUAAAGACAAAGGCUUGCAUAUUGAAGUUUGUGACAAAGGAGUGACAGGCCUUUAACAAGUCUGUUCCUUCCAUGUCAAAUGGUGACUUGUUCCAGAAGAACAAUGAUAUGAUAGACUUAGUUUUGGGGGAACUCUCACCAUGAGUCUUGGCUCGUUGAGCCUGCUAUUGCAUUUGAAGGUAUUCCCUCUGAUAUUUCUGGAACAGGGGAAAUAAAUACGAUUUUCUCCAUGCCUUGGUGGGAGGUCUGUGUAAUAUGCUUUUAGCAUAUAAUUAUAAGUCCUUAGUAAUAUCUUCCUACUGCAGCAAUGACCUGGAUAACAUUCUUCUUGAGAACCUUGGUGACACAAGGACGUUGCAAGCAGUUUUUGAGCUUGAAGGUCUUGUCUUAAUUGGACCACAUACAUUGGCUCCAGAGUAUGGUUUUGAAUAUGAACUAGUCACAUACAGAUGGCCCACAUGGUUACAUAAACAGAAAGAAAAGCAGUGAAUAAUUUGGUCAUAGAAAAUCCUGAUCCUAGAUGUCAUUUUCCCCCUUCCCUAGGAGAAGGUCAUUUUUGUCGAUGUUGAUCAAAUUGUCCUAGCAGACAUGGGAGAACUCUAUGACAUGGAUUUAAGGGAAAACCCCUGAUACUCUUUUAGAUAAUAAUGAGGAGAUGGGUGGAUAUCGGUUUUGGAGACAAGGUUUUGAAAGCAUCAGUUGCAGGGAAAACCAUACCAUAUUAGUGCUUAAUAUGUCGUUGAUCUGAAAAGUUCCAAGAGACUGCAUUAUGAAAAACUUAGCAAGGAUCCAAAUAGUCUAGCCAACUUGGAUAAUGUAAGAGGUUUGAGUUUAAUAGUUCCUUUUUACCUGCAAAAGAGUCAUUAUAUAAAAGAAUAAAAGAUCAAGUUGUUAGGUAAGAUUGACUGGUUUUGUGGCCCCAAUAUAACAUGAAAGCUCAGUGCAUGGUAAAUGACUGCUUUAUAUUAAAACUUCAUUAGAUGGAGGCAUAAGGAACCAUCUCUAGACCACUAGUAACACUGUUCAAAAUAAAAUAGUUAACCUAAAACAGUAAGCUGUUAAACAAGGGCCACAGAAUAGUUGUUUUAACUUUCGAUGUACAUGCCUUGUCAAAUUAAAUUGUUAAAGAAUAUUUAGCCCCUCCUCAAUCCGCUAACCAAAUAAAUAGGCAUGAAAGGAAAACUGGGGGCUACUUUAUGUUACGUUAUCUGAAUAUUUGUCUUGGUGAUGAUUGAUGAGUUAUCAUAUUAUAAAUUUAUAACACGUAAUUUAGAGACCUUUUGAUUUUAAUUAUUUCAGUAUGUUUAUACCUAUUGACCAAGAUGGUACUUUUUAGAAACAAUUGUGCGAUCAUUGUUGGAAAAAAUUGACAAGACUACUCAGGUACAUGUCAUUGUUGGGAAAGCUUAGUGUUGAACAAAUAAGACCAGUGAUUUUCUUAUCAGAUUUCGAGCAAGUUGGAAUCAGGUCCUUCCUUUUUAGGGUUUAGGAAAAUUGAAUAAUGAUUUCAGAAUCGCUGAAAAAGAGCAGCAAGAACAACGAAACCUAUUACUGAAAAAGAGCUAUUACAUAAGUUGUACAAAGGACCAAAUGGGAUCCUUUAGGACUGUAAAAUCAAGUUAGAGAUUUCUUAGUAUAUUUCCUUAUUAUUAUUUUUUAUGAAGACGAUGAACACAUCUUUAUGUGCUUCCUAUGUAUUUCCCAUUAGCCUUCUCUUUUAAAUGUUUGUUUUUGGUUUGAGGUGCCCUUUUUGUUAAAAUUUUCCCUUGAUUGUUUAGGAUCUUCCUAAUUGUGCUCAGUAUAUUGUGCCCAUUUUCUCUUUGCCACAAGAAUGACUAUGGUGUGGUAAUGCUACAAAAUAUAAGGCAAAAACCAUUGAUUUGUGCAACAAUCCCAUGACGAUAGAACCCAAUUGCUGGUGAAUGUUAUUUUUUAUGUUUUCUGUUCGUGGAGACUUAUUUCCUAUCGCAGCUUAUGUUUGUGCACUCCUCUUUAUCUUGGACCAUACCUUGAUUUUGAAGCAAGAAGAUUCACAGCACGAAUCUCGGGGGAUGAUCAAGAAUCUGAAUGAAUGCAAUCCCUUAAUCAAUCCAAGGACUUGACUAGUGAAGAUCCAUUGAAUGAAAAACACGGAAUCCGUGAAAGAUGUUCUGCAAGUUGAAAUUUACUCAAGAAAUCUAUGAUCCUUUCAACAUCAACAUUUUUUUUUUGGUGAUUACUCAUCUGUGUCUCUCACACUAAGUUCUUGAACUUGCAGAUAUAGACUGAAACAAAAGAAAGAAAACCAUAUUUAUAUUUAUGUUAAAUUUUGCUAA